GCGCCGGUGGUGUAAGGCGAACAUCGCUGCCCGGAAAGCAGAAGAUGCGGCUUCGAGUCCCGCCUGGCACA
rnacentral:tRNA from 1 species